GAUGAACGCUGGCGGCGUGCCUAAUACAUGCAAGUCGAGCGAACAGACGAGGCGCUUGCUCCUCUGACGUUAGCGGCGGACGUGUGAGUAACACGUGGAUAACCUACCUAUAAUACUGGGAUAACCUCGGGAAACCGGAUCUUAUACCGGAUAAUCUAUUGAACCGCAUGGUUCAAUAGUGAAAGACGGUUUUGCUGUCACUUAUCGAUGGAUCCGCGCCGCAUUAGCUAGUUGGUACGGUAACGGCUUACCAAGGCAACGAUGCGUAGCCGACCUGAGAGGGGGAUCAGCCACACUGGAACUGAGACACGGUCCAGACUCCUACGGGAGGCAGCAGUAGGGAAUGGUCCGCAAUGGGCGAAAGCCUGACGGAGCGACGCCGCGUGAGUGAUGAAGGUCUUCGGAUCGUAAAACUCUGUUAUUAGGGAAGAACAAAUGUGUAAGUAACUAUGCACGUCUUGACGGUACCUAAUCAGAAAGCCACGGCUAACUACGUG
rnacentral:rRNA from 1 species